ACGUAGGGGGCAAGCGUUAUCCGGAUUUACUGGGUGUAAAGGGAGCGUAGGCGGCCAUGCAAGUCAGAAGUGAAAGCCCGGGGCUCAACCCCGGGACUGCUUUUGAAACUGUAGGGCUAGAUUGCCGGAGAGGUGAGCGGAAUUCCUAGUGUAGCGGUGAAAUGCGUAGAUAUUAGGAGGAACACCAGUGGCGAAGGCGGCUCACUGGACGGUAAAUGACGCUGAGGCUCGAAAGCGUGGGGAGCAAACAG
rnacentral:rRNA from 1 species